rnacentral:rRNA from 1 species
AUUGCCCCAGUAACGGCGAGUGAAGCGGCAACAGCUCAAAUUUGAAAUCUGGCCCCCGGGUCCGAGUUGUAAUUUGUAGAGGAUGCUUUUGGUGAGGUGCCUUCCGAGUUCCCUGGAACGGGACGCCAUAGAGGGUGAGAGCCCCGUCUGGUCGGACACCGAUCCUCUGUAAAGCUCCUUCGACGAGUCGAGUAGUUUGGGAAUGCUGCUCUAAAUGGGAGGUAUAUGUCUUCUAAAGCUAAAUACCGGCCAGAGACCGAUAGCGCACAAGUAGAGUGAUCGAAAGAUGAAAAGCACUUUGAAAAGAGGGUUAAACAGUACGUGAAAUUGUUGAAAGGGAAGCGCUUAUGACCAGACUUGGGCCCGGUUAAUCAUCCAGCGUUCUCGCUGGUGCACUUGGCCGGCCCAGGCCAGCAUCAGUUCGGCGCGGGGGACAAAGACUUUGGGAAUGUGGCUCCCCCGGGAGUGUUAUAGCCCACAGUGUAAUACCCUGCGCCGGAAUGAGGUUCGGGCAUGCGCAAGGACGCUGGUGUAAUGGUCAUCAGCGACCCGUCUUGAAACACGGACCAAGGAGUCGUCUUCGUAUGCGAGUGUUCGGGUGUCAAACCCCUACGCGGAAUGAAAGUGAACGCAGGUGAGAGCUUCGGCGCAUCAUCGACCGAUCCUGAUGUUCUCGGAUGGAUUUGAGUAAGAGCAUACGGGGCCGGACCCGAAAGAAGGUGAAGUAUGCUUGUAUAGGGUGAAGCCAGAGGAAACUCUGGUGGAGGCUCGCAGCGGUUCUGACGUGCAAAUCGAUCGUCAAAUAUGAGCAUGGGGGGCGAAAGACUAAU